GACGAACGCUGGCGGCGUGCUUAACACAUGCAAGUCGAACGGAAAGGCCCUGCUUUUGUGGGGUGCUCGAGUGGCGAACGGGUGAGUAACACGUGAGUAACCUGCCCUUGACCUUGGGAUAACUUCAGGAAACUGGGGCUAAUACCGGAUAGGAGCUCCUGCUGCAUGGUGGGGGUUGGAAAGUUUCGGCGGUUGGGGAUGGACUCGCGGCUUAUCAGCUUGUUGGUGGGGUAGUGGCUUACCAAGGCUUUGACGGGUAGCCGGCCUGAGAGGGUGACCGGCCACAUUGGGACUGAGAUACGGCCCGGACUCCUACGGGAGGCAGCAGUGGGGAAUAUUGCACAAUGGGCGGAAGCCUGAUGCAGCAACGCCGCGUGCGGGAUGACGGCCUUCGGGUUGUAAACCGCUUUCGCCUGUGACGAAGCGUGAGUGACGGUAAUGGGUAAAGAAGCACCGGCUAACUACGUG
rnacentral:rRNA from 1 species